GGUCAUCUUUUAAAAAAAAUAAAAAUAAAUAAAAAAUAAAAAGGACAAAGGGUGCUUUCAUCUGAGUAUGAGUGGGUUUACCUGUUGCCUUCCUAGGUAAAAAUUUCCUUCUCUAGGUUUCCUCCUUUGUAGGGAAAAUAAAGCAGGAGGCCUGUGGCUGUAUUAGGCCCCUCGUUCCCCAUUCCCUACCAUCCAGCAGAACCAUGCAGGCCCCUAGAGCUGUCCUGGAGAGCUGGGUUAGUGCUGGUGUGAUGGCAGGUUGGUUUUGCACUCCCCAGGCAGUUUUCCAACGUGGACCAGAAUCCUCAGCUCUACAGAGGUACCCUCCACACCCACCCCUGCCAGUAGGAUGCAUAUUGCCUCUGCCCCAGUCACCUCCUCCAAGAAGGUCAGGGUACUCAUGAGUAGCCCCACAGCACCCCUUCCGAUCUUCAGCCCAAGAUUCAAACCUAACCUUUGCCUUUGCCACAACAUCACAAGAUUGCAGAAUAUCAUGAAAAAGGAGAAGAGCUCAAGGGCAAGAGAGGGAAAACUCAUGGCUCCUUGGCAACAACACAUCAGAAUCCUUCCAUUACAAAGACAAGUGAAGAAACUGAAGCCCAGAGAGAGGAAGUGACUUCCUCAGUAUCACACAGCAAGUUUCCUGGUCUAAUGGAAAGGUGUGCAAGUCCAGGUGAAGAAACUGAAGCUCAAGAGCAGUGAAGCGCCUUGUCCAAGAUCAUGCACUUGAUGGUCAGCAGAGUUGGGAUUCAAUCCCUGGUUUCCUGACUCCCAGUCUAGUGCUCCUUCUGUUGUACUAAAUGCCCCAGGAGGGCAGCAGAGCUGAGAGAAGGCAGUCAGCAGGUUCCUCAUCACCUCUUCCAGGAAGCCUUCUGGGACUCCUUCCCAGUACGAGUUGCUAUCUCUCUACGGUGAGUUCCCCUGUUACACUGUACAUGCCUCUGUCAUAACAUAUACCACCGUGUAAUGAGCUUUCUCAAUGCACUGAGCCUCCCAAGGUCAUACCUGAGUCUGAUUUGUUUUUCUGCUGGGUAGAAAAUUGUUGUUGAAUAGGUCGGCUCUUAGUAGGAUAACAUGGAGCAGAGAACUCUAGAGUAAGACCAAACCAAAGAUCCAAAUAUUCCAGCACCUAUAUUUAAAUGCUGUGUGACUUUGGGCAGACUUCCUUCCCUGUGAGUCUCAGUUUCCUGAUCUGUAAAAUGGGAAAACAGUACUCACAGGGAACACUGAGGAGUAAAAGGGAGAAUGUGUAGCCACGCAGUUAAGAUUGUAGGCUCUGGAAUCAGACUGUCUGCAGUCAACCCCCAGCUCUACUGUGAGUAACUUAACUCUCUAUUCUUCUUCUUUUUUUUUUUUUCCUUUUUUCUUUCUUUAUUUGACUUAACUCUCUAUGCCUUUGUUUCCUUACCUAUAAAUUAGGGAUGACAUUAAUACUUCAUGCGGUAUUCAUGAGGAUUAAAUGAAACAGUGUAUGGAAAAGAAAAAAAAAUGUAUGGAAAACUGUGUAAGUGCUCAGUAAAUGUGCCCAGUAUCAUUACGUGUGGUGCCCAGCCCAGUGGCUGAACACUGACCAGGUAAGCUCUCAAUGAAAUAUGUCAUACAGGGAGCCUGUCUUUCUUGUUUACCACUGCAGCUGAAUUACCAUGCAUGGUCAUUGGCACAUAGUAGGUGCUCAAUCAAUCUUUGUUGGGUCAUUGAAUAGUGACUGAGUUACUUAUGAUAAUGUUAUUCUGCCUAUGAGUUCAGUGCUUUGUGACCUUCCCUUCUGCCCCAGGCACCACAGAGGACAUACAGCCUACAACACCAGCCCAACUCUGGCACUGAGAUGUCUUGUACAGGCCAAGGGACCAUCUUGGAAGUGAAAGUGGGAACUUCUGGGCCUGUGGGUAGGGGGCAUGCACAGCAGGAGACAAGGGUUUGGAGAAAAGGACUAGCAAAGGGAUCUAACAUUGAUUGAGUACCUACUAUGUGCCAGAUGCUAUACAUACUGUUGCAUUUCCUCCUCACAGCAGCCUGCAAAGCACAAAUCAUUACCCCCAUUUUAGAGGUGAUAAAAUGGGAGAUCUGUGAGGUAAGGAAACUCAUCCAAGGUCAUGUAGAAAUGAAGGAGCCCAGCUUGAUUUGAACUCUGGACUGUCUGGCUCCAGCCCCUAUUCUGUCCACUGUACCAGCUGCCUCCCAGAGGGCAGGAGAUUGGAAGCUGAACCGCACACCAUACAGGAAGCCCCAAGAGCCAAUGCCAAGGCCGGACUCAGGCUGAGCGACAGCUUGAGACCAUGACUUUGACAGCUAUGCUGAGGUUGGCCCAGAAGCAAAUGGUGCUAAACUUGAAUGCCUGGGAAGACGAGCUGUGACCAUGAAGACAAGAGAUGGGGAGGGGCUGCAGCAGGGUGUUGAGGAGGUGCUGGCUCUGAACAGAAGGUCCUUGGGCCCUGCCUCCAACAGAAAAGGCUCCCUACUUUCUUACUCUAUGACCUUGAGCAAGUCACUCAACCAUCUCAGUUCAGUGUCCUCACUUGUCACACAAGGUCACUACUCCUCCUGCAUUGUCAUGGUAUUACAUGAGACAGUGCAGGGAGACAGAACUGGGUCAAGUCCAGGCCAGGGCUCAAGUACUAAUUAGUUAUAUGAUAUAAAGCAAGUCACUUCACCUCUCUGAGCCUCAGUUUUCACAUCUAUAUAAUGGGGAUUAUACCUGUCUCACCAGAUCAUUGUGAGGAUGUGAUGAUUAAAGUGAGGGCUCUGGAGUACAUUUUCCUGGGUUCAAAUUAUGCUCUACUACUUUUUUUUUUUACCCCCACGGCUGGGUGGUAACUGAACCCUUGACCUUGAUGUUACAAGGCCACACUCUAACCAACUGGCCAGCCCCCUUGCUGCACCACCUUGAGCUGCUUGGUCUCUCUGUGCCCCAGUUUCAACCCCUGCAAAGUGGGGGUGACUAUAAGCACACUCAUGUCAUGGAGUUGUGAUAUAAAAUAUAAUCAACAGAAAGAAUAUAGAACAAAGUAAGUUCUCUGUAACUGAGAAAUCAUUAGCCCUUGGUCUGGCACCUGAUAGUUUUUAGUUGUUAUUUUGGGGGGUGUUUUUGUUCUUUUCGGUGGCUAGCCAGUACGAGGACCUGAGCCCUUAACCUUGGUGUUAUAACACUCACUCUAAUAGCUGAGCUCGGGUACCUAAUAGUAACUAGUGCUUGCUGUAGGCUAGGCAUCACUUUAAACACUUUACACUUUGACUUUAAUCUUCGAAGCAGUCCUUCGUGAAGGUAUAUUACUGUCCCCAUUUUAUUCAUGAGGAACUGAGUUAUUCAGAGGUCCAAUGAUUUGCCAGAGAUCUCACGAUCAGUGGACAGACCAGGACUUAAGCCCUGCAGAAUCAGCCACUCCAUCCCUAAUAAAGGCUCCGUAAAUGGGAGCUGUUAGAAUGUC